GUUGUGAGGUUAAGCGACUAAGCGUACACGGUGGAUGCCCUGGCAGUCAGAGGCGAUGAAGGGCGUACUAAUCUGCGAUAAGCGCCGGUAAGGUGAUAUGAACCGUUAUAACCGGCGAUACCCGAAUGGGGAAACCCAGUGUGAUUCGUCACACUAUCAUUAACUGAAUCCAUAGGUUAAUGAGGCGAACCGGGGGAACUGAAACAUCUAAGUACCCCGAGGAAAAGAAAUCAACCGAGAUUCCCCCAGUAGCGGCGAGCGAACGGGGAGGAGCCCAGAGCCUGAAUCAGCAUGUGUGUUAGUGGAAGCGUCUGGAAAGGCGCGCGAUACAGGGUGACAGCCCCGUACACAAAAGCGCAUGUGCUGUGAGCUCGAUGAGUAGGGCGGGACACGUGGUAUCCUGUCUGAAUAUGGGGGGACCAUCCUCCAAGGCUAAAUACUCCUGACUGACCGAUAGUGAACCAGUACCGUGAGGGAAAGGCGAAAAGAACCCCGGCGAGGGGAGUGAAAAAGAACCUGAAACCGUGUACGUACAAGCAGUGGGAGCCCCACCACCAAAGCAUUUGCUGUACCGCGUUGACGGAG
rnacentral:rRNA from 1 species